UGGGUAACCUGCCCUGUACUCUGGGAUAAGCCUGGGAAACUAGGUCUAAUACCGGAUAUGACCUGUCACCGCAUGGUGGUGGGUGGAAAGUUCCGGCGGUACGGGAUGGACCCGCGGCCUAUCAGCUUGUUGGUGGGGUAAUGGCCUACCAAGGCGACGACGGGUAGCCGGCCUGAGAGGGUGACCGGCCACACUGGGACUGAGACACGGCCCAGACUCCUACGGGAGGCAGCAGUGGGGAAUAUUGCACAAUGGGCGAAAGCCUGAUGCAGCGACGCCGCGUGAGGGAUGACGGCCUUCGGGUUGUAAACCUCUUUCAGCAGGGACGAAGCGUGAGUGACGGUACCUGCAGAAGAAGC
rnacentral:rRNA from 1 species